CGCGUAGGCGGGUUUUCAAGUCUGUGGUGAAAUCCUCCAGCUUAACUGGAGAAGUGCCGUGGAUACUGGAGACCUCGAGGAGGGUAGGGGCAUCUGGAACAGCCGGUGGAGCGGUGAAAUGCGUUGAUAUCGGCUGGAACUCCGAUGGCGAAAGCAAGGUGCUGGACCCUAUCUGACGCUGAUGCGCGAAAGCCAGGGGAGCGAACG
rnacentral:rRNA from 1 species